rnacentral:lncRNA from 1 species
GCCCGCCCGCUCGCGCUGCCUCUGCGCCUCCAUCCCGGCUCGCUCAUUAUCUCGCCCUCUCGCUUCCCCUGCGGUCUCUCGCUCUGCGCGCACACACCACACACACGCACACGCACACACACGCGCGCACACACGCAGCCGGCACAGGCGGCGGCGGCGGCUGCCCAAGUCAGGACGAACCUAUCUAGGUACCGUCUUGAGAAGGCGGCAGCGGCGGCGGCGGCGGCGGCGGCGGCAGCCCGAGCAUCCCUCCUCUCCCGGAGAGGGAGCACCGCCGAGAGUUUCCGUUCCCUUUGCCAUUCCCUUCCCCCUCCUUUUCUUUUAUUUUCGAGAGAAUUUCUUCUUGGCUUAUUGGUUUAAUUUGAUUUUUAAAAUUUUGGGUUGCUUUUGUGUAUGUGUGCUUUUUUUUUCUUUCCUCAUUUUAUUUGCAUCCAGAGCAUGGCGGGCUGCGGGCUGUCGGAAGACACCCUCUUCUCUUCCUUCUUUUACAACUACGGCUCCUCCUGGGAAACCCCUUCCAACCAGCAUUUGAGCAUGGGCACAUGUUUGAGAAACCUGCUCCUAACUGUUCCUAAGAAGAAAAAGAAUACAACAAAGGCGAUACUUUAAAUCUCAUCUUGGACUCGGGCAGAGCUGCUAUAGGAAGGCCUGGGCCAAAUUUGCAAGAGUGAGACUUGUUCAUGAUUUUACCCUGAUUGCUGCCAAAAUGCUUACAUAUCCUGCGUUUCCUAAAAAUGGCAAUGUUCUUCAGAUAUAAUUUGUUUACUCUACCUCAAUUAAAAAUCCUUUUCCUAGUGUUA